rnacentral:rRNA from 1 species
UACGGAGGGUGCAAACGUUGCUCGGAAUCAUUGGGCGUAAAGCGCACGUAGGCGGACCAUCAAGUCGGUUGUGAAAUCCCUCGGCUUAACCGAGGACGUGCAUUCGAAACUGAUGGCCUUGAGUACGAAAGAGGAUCGCGGAAUUCCCGGUGUAGAGGUGAAAUUCGUAGAUAUCGGGAGGAACACCAGUUGCGAAGGCGGCCGACUGGACACAUAUUGACGCUGAGGCUCGAAAGCAUGGGGAGCAAACAGG